AUCAGCAAAAGGAAGGCACAUGUGUGUUGAAGCCAUAACUCACUAUGGAGACUUCGCGGCUAAGGUUGCAGAGCUUUACCCUGAAUAUAACGUUCCUAGGUUGCCCAGAGAUACUCAACCUGGACUAUUAAGAGCUAAGGAUGGAGCUAAGAAGUUGAUGGAUUUGGGACUGGAAUUUAUUGAAAUGGAGCAAAUAAUUAGGGACGCCGUUGAGAGUCUGAAGAUCAAGGGAUAUAUUUCUUA
rnacentral:misc_RNA from 1 species